rnacentral:rRNA from 3 species
GCGUAACAAGGUCUCCGUAGGUGAACCUGCGGAGGGAUCAUUA